CAAAGGGCGGAAAUGACGCGACCACUUCCGCGUGUCCUAGGGCUGGGGACUAGGGCAGCGCGUGUCCCAGGGCCGCGGACCGGGCGCUGUGCACAUGGCUGCCCGCACAGCUGUGCGUGUUCUUCCGCCGCCCGAGCACGCUACCGCCCUACUGCGUGCCUCUGCCGUCUGACCCAGUCUAGGGUCACCCCAAAGCAGGGGCUCGCAGCCUAGGCCGGGCCCGGAGCCAGGGGCCCCUCCCAGGGCCGGAAGUGUGGCGGCAGCGGAAGUGGUGGCAGUUGCCACAUUUCCAAGCUCCUGUGGCUUCAUCAGCCCCAGCCAGGGAUGGGCCCCUUUCCCCCUCCUCCCACGACCCAGGGAUAGGCUGGAUUGGGCACAGACUCGGUUGGUACUACAUGCCAGACAGCUCACUGACUAGACUGAGCCCAUGGAAGGACCUGGCACCAAUCAUCUGGCUGGUGGGCUGAGACGGUUGGGUACCAUUAUCCUAAAGUAACCAUCACUGCAGUCUCCCUUCCAUAGUUACUAGCACCUCCAGUGGUUGAAUCAGGAGAUUUGGUACCUGGUGUCUUUGGAUUCUGUUUACCUUCUGACCUUGCACUGUGCCUUACAAUUUCACUUUACCCUGUAAAACUGAUAAUGCCACUUCCCUCAUAGGCUAAAUACAGAUCUGUGCUUUCCAUCUGAAAAAAACAGGAUGUUGAAUGACACCUGAAUGUCACCUGGGGUGACUAGAGUCUCAAACAUCAGAAACACCUGGUCUACUUAGGGGUAACACUGGACUGUACACGUAGUUACAAAAAUACAUAUUAAAUCCCAAAGCCUAGGUGAACACGAAACAACAUUCUGUAUAAGCUCACAAAUUCCAAGUGGGGAACACAUCCAUCCACCCUUAUGGUUUUUUGUCUUCUACCAUAUCACUGACCACAUCACCAAAAUUAGCUAGAACUACCUUCUGCAAAAAGAGUAGGAGAAACUAGGUGACAAAGCUGUUGAAUGGAGCUGGUGAGGAAUUACCCCCAGUGAGGAGUCAGCAUCAGGCUCUAAUUACAAAUGGUACACACGACGGAGCCUGAACAGAUUGAGAGCGGGUCUUGACAGAUGCAACUCUCUCCUGAAAUCAUGGGGCCUCUACACAACUGACCAAUGUGUUUGUCAGGAGAAGCAAACCAUGAACCAUCUGAGAAGCCCUGCAGCACCAUGAUGCACCUCGUGAGAUUUGGCAAUGCCAACAUCAAAAGCAGCGGCCUGUGCAGAAUAUUGGUAACAGACCAUAUAGAAAGGUUGGAUUGGAGACAUGACAAAGAAGAAUGAUCAUCUCAUUUAGGGUCAGGAAUGAAUAUGAGUUUUUACCUUCCUCUGUAAUGUGGGGUAUGGUCCUUUUCUUUGGAUCUUCUGAGAAUAAAUAAACCAACUACUUUUAUGUCAUUGCAGUGGCAGGAUACUGGCAGUGUCCUUAUCGCCCCUGUUUUCAGUUAUUUUAUAAGGCAGGGUUUCAAACUCUUUGUGCCCCAGGCCAGAUCCAGUCUGGGGCAUGAGGGAAGUGGCAAUGGUGGCAGCAAUUCCAGCUCUGACCCAGGGUACACAGCAGUGGCUCCAGGCCCCAUCAUGUACCCCUGUCAGAGCCAAAGCUGGUGCCAAUGCAUGCCCCAGAUCAGAGCUAGAGCUGCUGCUGCCACAAUGCCUCAUGCUGCACCAGUAGCUCUAGUUCUGACUCCAGCAUGGGGCACACUGGGAGGCAGUGCUGCAGCAGUGGGGACAGGCGUAUCAGCCCCCAUUUACCCUCCUGCAGCUGAUUGCUAUGUCCAGUAGGCUUAAGCAGUCCAGAUUCUGCAAUAGGCCACACUUACUCCCACAGCCCAGCCAGGCCCCCAACUUCUGGUGGCCCACUGGUAGUCUGCCAGACUAGAUCCAGCCCACAUAUAUGGCCAGAUCCAGUGUUCCAUAUCCCUGUUAAAAGGCAUUGUUGGCGUUUUGGGUAUAGUGAUUUGUAGUUGUAUGGGAGGGUUUGAAGUGAUGAUUACAAGGAUUUCUUGGGUAAAUGGUUGCAUGCAAAUGAAAGAGAUUCGACCCAAUGGCCCAGGAGGCUCCUUCCAGUCCUAUGUUGCUUUUUAAAACUUUAUUAAUGAAUCCAACAUCAAAUAACAGGUUUAAUAUUUUAAAAUGUAUCCAAUCCCCUAAAACAGGGGUGGGCAAUUAUUUUGGGCAGAGGGCUGCUUACUGAGUUUCAGCAAGCCAUCAAGGAACACAUGACAGGCAGCCCAGGGUAGAUUAAUAUUUUCUAAAAUUUUUUAGGGGCCCCGCAGGCCGGAUAGAAUGGCUUGGGGGCCGCAUCUGGUCCCUGGUCUGCAUUUUGCCCACCCCUGCCCUAAAAUAUACAAAGAGACAGAUACUCUUCUAUCAACAGUGCUACCAUAUCCUUAACCAAUGUCCACAGAAGUCUUGUGUUCGUUUCUUCUCUUCCUUUCAGUAUCUGUGUAGUGGGGUCCACUGCUGGGGCAGCUAAGGCACGCCCUAGCAGCCUCCUGGGUCCCACCUUGCUUAACCCCUCUGGUACCCUGUUGUCUCAUCUGCCACACCUUGAUGUUAUGACUGGACAGGGAGGCUGCUCCUAAAGAGCAGGGGGGUUUUGCCUCAAAUUUUAGGCCCUUGUCUGGGCUGAGGCCCUCUGGCCUCGGCCCACUUUACUUGGCCUUUUCACUCAAGAUCCACUGUCCCAGGACCCUAACUUCCUGGGCCCCAGCUUCCAGCCAUGGGCUCUAGGCCACUCAGCUGCUGGUCUCACGCUUACAGGCUCUUGGCCCUUUGGCCCCAGCCGAUAGUAGUGCUUACCUUACUACUUGCAGUCUCCAAGUUUCUUGGGGCUUAUGACUGGGCCUUGGCCCUCUUGCCCCACCCCCUCUGCAGGGCUUUGGGACCCAGGGUGCCCCUAGUGGCCUCAGUGGCCUCCUCUUCCUCUACACCUACAAUCUGUACAGCUACAAUCAGUCCAACUUUAACCCCAAUGAAAAAUAUGAGCAUCUGUAUCAGAAAGCCCCUUUUCCUCUUGCCUGCAGUUGCUCUCCCUUCCUUGGAUAUGUUUUUCCUCUUCUACCUUUUCUUCCUUCCUCUUUCUUUCACUUUAAGAUAAGGAAUUGUGUUUUGAAAUUUGUGUGUGUGCAUUUUGUAUCUCCCCUUGUAUUUUGGUAUUUUUAUCUUUGUGCGCCAUGGCAUUACUUUUGUAGCUUAUAUUUUAUACUCCUCACCUUUUAACUUUCAACUAAAUGUGUUUAGUUUCAUAAGUAAGUUAUACAUUGUAACAAUGUUAACAAGGGCAGGAAUCAAACUGCCCUUCCCUGUAUCAGGCUGGCCCCUGAAAGAGCGAGUGAAUCAGUGAUUGAAUGUGUAACACGGUAGCAGGCAGCAAUUAAAACCUAAGGAAACUGCAGAUCAACCAAGGGAAGAACUCAAUAGAAGACAAUGUAACAACCGGGAAAUAUCUAAACGUCACUGAUCAAGGGCUAGAAGCCCUGGCCUGAGUUAAUCAACGCCGGGGACCAACUUCUGGGCUGAAUAUCUCCAGAUCGACUGCUCCCAGAGCCCUAUUCAAAAUUCAUCAACAGACUCCCAAACCUGCACGUACAUGCGGACGACCCCUGGGGCUGACAGAUGCCAUCCAGUAGCCACUGAGGGGGAAGUCCCACGAGGGUCAACGACCCCUGGAUUGGGCAAACAUGAAAACUGGGGAGUCACCAAAGUCUGCCAAGGACAGAUAAAAAGCAGUGAAAAGUGACCCUCAGGGGCACCCUCUUGAUCUCCAACUUGACCAGCACCCGACCUGUCCAGCCAGAAGGACCAGCUGGUGACCCCCUUCUGGAAGAUAACACCACGCUGAAAGAAGCUUCAACGACAGACUCCAGCGCCUGUGGGAUAGGUAUACCUGACUCUUGUAGCUUGCUACUGUGUGUGUGUGUGUGUGUGUGUGUAAGUGAUGAGUACCCCUGAAACUUUUAUAGGUUUUUUUAUACUUUGGGAACAGCUGUAUGUUUUGAAAAAGUAUUUUAUCUAACCAAGGGCAUACAGUAGGGUGUUUAGGCUGGGGGAGAUCGCUUGUUGCCUAGUUGCUUAAUUGCUGGCCUUGCUAGAGGGAAAGCCAUAUCAGCAAGGUCCCUAAGGGGUUGGAAAGGGGGGUUACUGGCUAAGCUUGCUGAAUAACAGGUGCCAUAUCAGCAAAUUACACUGUCAUGAAGGCAAGUUCAAACUGACUAGGGAGGGGUCUGUAGCUAGGGUGAAGUGCGCAUGGACUAAAAGGGGCAACCUAUAGUAACUGCAUAACGUGUAAGGCUAGAAGAGGCUAUAUAAGGCUAAUGCCCACUUGGGUGGGUGUGCUUGCUUUGCAAACGAUUGCCAAGCACCGCUUUCUGCGCAGAAAUAAAGAUUAAGUUGGAUCCUUCA